GAUGAACGCUGGCGGCGUGCCUAAUACAUGCAAGUCGAGCGAACGGACGAGAAGCUUGCUUCUCUGAUGUUAGCGGCGGACGGGUGAGUAACACGUGGAUAACCUACCUAUAAGACUGGGAUAACUUCGGGAAACCGGAGCUAAUACCGGAUGAUAUUUUGAACCGCAUGGUUCAAAAGUGAAAGACGGUCUUGCUGUCACUUAUAGAUGGAUCCGCGCUGCAUUAGCUAGUUGGUAAGGUAACGGCUUACCAAGGCAACGAUGCAUAGCCGACCUGAGAGGGUGAUCGGCCACACUGGAACUGAGACACGGUCCAGACUCCUACGGGAGGCAGCAGUAGGGAAUCUUCCGCAAUGGGCGAAAGCCUGACGGAGCAACGCCGCGUGAGUGAUGAAGGUCUUCGGAUCGUAAAACUCUGUUACUAGGGAAGAACAUAUGUGUAAGUAACUGUGCACAUCUUGACGGUACCUAAUCAGAAAGCCACGGCUAACUACGUG
rnacentral:rRNA from 1 species